rnacentral:rRNA from 1 species
AUUGAACGCUGGCGGCAGGCCUAACACAUGCAAGUCGAACGAGUGGCGGACGGGUGAGUAAUGUCUGGGAAACUGCCUGAUGGAGGGGGAUAACUACUGGAAACGGUAGCUAAUACCGCAUACCAUCGGAUGUGCCCCGAUGGGAUUAGCUAGUAGGUGGGGUAACGGCGCACCUAGGCGACGAUCCCUAGCUUGUCUGAGAGGAUGACCAGCCACACUGGAAAGAAGACACGGUCCAGACACCAACGUGAGGCGGCAGUGGGGAAUAUUGCACAAUGGGCGCAAGCCUGAUGCAGCCAUGCCGCGUGUAUGAAGAAGGCCUUCGGGUUGUAAAGUACUUUCAGCGGGGAGGCGUUACCCGCAGAAGAAGCACCGGCUAACUCCGUGCCAGCAGACGCGGUAAUAC